CAAUAGCGUAUAUUAAAGUUGUUGCAGUUAAAAAGCUCGUAGUUGGAUUUCUGGUUGAAGCGACCGGUCGGGCGUUGAUUCGUCUGCACUGGAGUCGGUUUUGGCCAUCCUCUAGGAAAGUGCGUCUGGUAUUAAGUUAUCGGGCGUAUGAUCCUGGUCUUUUACUGUGAAAAAAUUAGAGUGUUUAAAGCAGGCCUUCGCCUUGAAUACAUUAGCAAGGAAUAAUAAGAUAGGACUUUGGUCUAUUUUGUUGGUUUGCAGACCGAAGUAAUGAUUAAUAGGGAUAGUUGGGGGUAUUUAUAUUCCGAUGUCAGAGGUGAAAUUCUUAGAUUUUCGGAAGAUAAACUUAUGCGAAAGCAUUUACCAAGGAUGUUUUCAUUAA
rnacentral:rRNA from 1 species